UGGGGAAUCUUGCACAAUGGGCGAAAGCCUGAUGCAGCAACGCCGCGUGCGGGAAGACAGCCCUAGGGUUGUAAACCGCUUUCAGCAGGGAAGAAACUGACGGUACCUGCAGAAGAAGAUGCGGCCAACUACGUGCCAGCAGCCGCGGUGACACGUAGGCAUCAAGCGUUAUCCGGAUUUAUUGGGCGUAAAGAGCUCGUAGGCGGUUCGGUAAGUCGGGUGUGAAAACUCUGGGCUCAACCCAGAGAGGCCACUCGAUACUGCUGUGACUAGAGUGCGGUAGGGAGCGGGGAAUUCCUGGUGUAGCGGUGAAAUGCGCAGAUAUCAGGAGGAACACCAGUGGCGAAGGCGCCGCUCUGGGCCGUAACUGACGCUGAGGAGCGAAAGCAUGGGUAGCAAACAGGAUUAGAUACCCUGGUAGUCCAUGCCGUAAACGUUGGGCACUAGGUGUGGGUCUCAACCGAACGAGA
rnacentral:rRNA from 1 species